CGACCGUGCAGUGAAAAUAGCAUUAGGGCGACGGGCUAAAUAUAGAGAGAUUAAGCGGUGGAAAGAUUUCAGGGAGGAAGGCAAUGGCGGCGCGUGCUGCAGUUGCUGAGACAGAACGCAGGUGACUGUUGUCUCUUGGUGGGGCAGGUGGACCCAGCAGCAGAGGGCUUCCUCCCUACACACGAGGAGAAGGUUCUCCCUGCCUUGGGAUAGCAGGAAAAGUGGAUACAUGUAUUUGUUCAGGAAAGGUCUAUCUGCCCAGUUUUUCUUCAGCUGCUUCCUUAAGUCUACUCCUGGGCUGUUUGGGGCAGGAAGCCAGGUGGAUCUCUCGCUAUCUGCUGCCAACCCUGGGGCCAUCUCGGCUCCAAAGACUGUUUCUCACGAAAUCUUGGGAAAUUCAGCAGGGAAUAAAGGUGACUGGGAAUGUCAGCUUCAUCAGAACUGGGUUUUGCCAAGUAUGGUGCUUCGAUACCUCGUCAAUAAAUGCUGCUGAUAGACACUUCAGAGUCUGUUUCUUGGCUUAGGGUCCCAAGACUCAACAAGCAGUUGCAAAAUUCCUGACUAUGGCACUUAAUUAUACUACUCCUUACAGUUUAAUGGAAUAAUUCUACAUACUACAACUAUGUAAGUUUCUACAAACCUGUAAUUGUAAAUUUUUAAUUGAAUUUUUUAUAUGUUAACUUUAAAUAUACUAUUUACCUGCCCCCUUUUGCUCAUGACUUGUUGGCCCAUGAGCACUAAAUAAAUGAAUGGAAUGGUAA